rnacentral:rRNA from 1 species
GACGAACGCUGGCGGCGUGCUUAACACAUGCAAGUCGAACGGGAUCCGGGCUUUCGGGUUUGGUGAGAGUGGCGAACGGGUGAGUAACACGUGAGUAACCUGCCCCCUUCUUUGGGAUAACGUCGGGAAAUCGGCGCUAAUACUGGAUAUUCUUGCUGCAUCGCAUGGUGUGGUUUGGAAAGGGUUUCUGGUGGGGGAUGGGCUCGCGGCCUAUCAGCUUGUUGGUGGGGUGAUGGCCUACCAAGGCUUUGACGGGUAGCCGGCCUGAGAGGGUGUCCGGCCACACUGGGACUGAGACACCGCCCAGACUCCUACGGGAGGCAGCAGUGGGGAAUAUUGCACAAUGGGCGCAAGCCUGAUGCAGCGACGCCGCGUGAGGGAUGACGGCCUUCGUGUUGUAAACCUCUUUCAGUAUGGAACAAGGAUCCUUCUUUUGGGGGGUUUGAGGGUACGUGCAGAAGAAGCGCCGGCUAACUACGUG